UACGGGGGGGGCAAGCGUUGUUCGGAUUCAUUGGGCGUAAAGGGUGCGUAGGCGGCGCCGUAAGUCGGGUGUGAAAUCUCGGAGCUUAACUCCGAAACUGCAUUCGAUACUGCCGUGCUUGAGGACUGGAGAGGAGACUGGAAUUUACGGUGUAGCGGUGAAAUGCGUAGAUAUCGUAAGGAAGACCAGUGGCGAAGGCGGGUCUCUGGACAGUUCCUGACGCUGAGGCACGAAGGUCAGGGGAGCAAACGGG
rnacentral:rRNA from 1 species